GAUGAACGCUGGCGGCGUGCCUAAUACAUGCAAGUCGAGCGAACAGACGAGGAGCUUGCUCCUCUGACGUUAGCGGCGGACGGGUGAGUAACACGUGGAUAACCUACCUAUAAGACUGGGAUAACUUCGGGAAACCGGAGCUAAUACCGGAUAACAUGUUGAACCGCAUGGUUCAACAGUGAAAGACGGUUUUGCUGUCACUUAUAGAUGGAUCCGCGUCGCAUUAGCUAGUUGGUAAGGUAACGGCUUACCAAGGCAACGAUGCGUAGCCGACCUGAGAGGGUGAUCGGCCACACGGGAACUGAGACACGGUCCAGACUCCUACGGGAGGCAGCAGUAGGGAAUCUUCCGCAAUGGGCGAAAGCCUGACGGAGCAACGCCGCGUGAGUGAAGAAGGUCUUCGGAUCGUAAAACUCUGUUAUUAGGGAAGAACAAAUGUGUAAGUAACUAUGCACGUCUUGACGGUACCUAAUCAGAAAGCCACGGCUAACUACGUG
rnacentral:rRNA from 1 species